rnacentral:lncRNA from 1 species
CAGUAAAGAAAAUGAUGAUGAAAGGGAUAUUAUUAUUGGGAGGCUAAGGGGGAAGAUUUGUGAUCUGGAAAACGCACUCAAAGCUUCGAAGAAAAAGAUCCAAUUAUUAGUAGCAGUGGCUGGUUUUCUUAGUGUAGUUAACAUACUUAUGUUUUGUGUAUUUUGGUUGAAGUGAUGAUGUUUAAAGAGGUGGUCCCAAUGUGGUUGAACGUAGUGAUUUAAGGUCAAUGGAGUUGAA